rnacentral:rRNA from 1 species
UACGUAGGGGGCUAGCGUUGUCCGGAUUUAUUGGGCGUAAAGAGCGUGUAGGCGGCCAGGUAGGUCCGUUGUGAAAACUCGAGGCUCAACCUCGAGACGUCGGCGGAAACCCUCUGGCUAGAGUCCGGAAGAGGAGAGUGGAAUUCCUGGUGUAGCGGUGAAAUGCGCAGAUAUCAGGAAGAACACCCGUGGCGAAGGCGGGUCUCUGGGCCGAUACUGACGCUGAGGAGCGAAAGCAUGGGUAGCGAACAGG